AUUGAACGCUGGCGGCAGGCCUAACACAUGCAAGUCGAACGAGUGGCGGACGGGUGAGUAAUUUCUGGGAAACUGCCUGAUGGAGGGGGAUAACUACUGGAAACGGUAGCUAAUACCGCAUACCAUCAGAUGUGCCCAGGUGGGAUGAGCUAGUGGGUGGGGUAACGGCUCACCAAGGCGACGAUCCAUAGCUGGUCUGAGAGGAUGACCAGCCACACUGGAACUGAGACACGGUCCAGACUCCUACGGGAGGCAGCAGUGGGGAAUAUUGGACAAUGGGCGAAAGCCUGAUGCAGCCAUGCCGCGUGAAUGAAGAAGGCCUUCGGGUUGUAAAGCACUUUCAGCGGGGAGGCGUUACCCGAACAAGAAGCACCGGCUAACUCCGUGCCAGCAGCCGCGGUAAUAC
rnacentral:rRNA from 1 species